rnacentral:rRNA from 1 species
AGAGUUUGAUCCUGGCUCAGGACGAACGCUGGCGGCGUGCUUAACACAUGCAAGUCGAACGAUGAAGCCCUUCGGGGUGGAUUAGUGGCGAACGGGUGAGUAACACGUGGGCAAUCUGCCCUUCACUCUGGGACAAGCCCUGGAAACGGGGUCUAAUACCGGAUAACACUCCUGCCCGCAUGGGUGGGGGUUAAAAGCUCCGGCGGUGAAGGAUGGGCCCGCGGCCUAUCAGCUUGUUGGUGAGGUAGUGGCUCACCAAGGCGACGACGGGUAGCCGGCCUGAGAGGGCGACCGGCCACACUGGGACUGAGACACGGCCCAGACUCCUACGGGAGGCAGCAGUGGGGAAUAUUGCACAAUGGGCGAAAGCCUGAUGCAGCGACGCCGCGUGAGGGAUGACGGCCUUCGGGUUGUAAACCUCUUUCAGCAGGGAAGAAGCGAAAGUGACGGUACCUGCAGAAGAAGCGCCGGCUAACUACGUGCCAGCAGCCGCGGUAAUACGUAGGGCGCAAGCGUUGUUCGGAAUUAUUGGGCGUAAAGAGCUCGUAGGCGGCUUGUCACGUCGGGUGUGAAAGCCCGGGGCUUAACCCCGGGUCUGCAUUCGAUACGGGCUAGCUAGAGUGUGGUAGGGGAGAUCGGAAUUCCUGGUGUAGCGGUGAAAUGCGCAGAUAUCAGGAGGAACACCGGUGGCGAAGGCGGAUCUCUGGGCCAUUACUGACGCUGAGGAGCGAAAGCGUGGGGAGCGAACAGGAUUAGAUACCCUGGUAGUCCACGCCGUAAACGGUGGGAACUAGGUGUUGGCGACAUUCCACGUCGUCGGUGCCGCAGCUAACGCAUUAAGUUCCCCGCCUGGGGAGUACGGCCGCAAGGCUAAAACUCAAAGGAAUUGAUGG